UGGCGGAGCUACACAUGCAGUCGAACCGGUAGGACACAGAGAGCUUGCUCGCUCGUGACGAGUGGCGGACGGGUGAUGCAUGUCUGUGAGACUGUCUGAUGGAGGGGGAUAACUACUGGGAACGGUAGCUAAUACCGCAUAAUGUCGCAAAACCAAAGAGGGGGACCUUCCGGCCUCUUGCCAUCAAAUGUGCCCAGAUGGGAUUAGCUAGUAGGUGGGGUAACGGCUCACGUAAGCAACUAUCCCUAGCUGGUCUGAAAGGAUGACCACCCACACUGUAACUGACACACCGUACACACUCCUACGGGAGGCAGCAGUGGGGAAUAUUGCACAAUGGGCGCAAGCCUGAUGCAUCCAUGCCGCGUGUAUAAAGAAUGCCUUCUGGUUGUAAAGUACUUUCAGCAGGAAGGAACGUGAUGUGGUUAAUAACCACAGCGAUUGACGCUACCCGCAUAAGAACCACCGGCUAACUCCGUGCCAGCAGCCGCAGUAAUACGGAGGGUGCAAGCGUUAAUCUUAAUUACUGGGCGUAAAGCGCACGCAGGCGGUCUGUCAAGUCUGAUGUGAAAUCCCCGGGCUCUACCUGGGAACUGCAUUCGAAACUGGCAUGCUGGAGUCUUGUAGAGGGGGGUAUAAUUCCAGGUGUAGCGGAGAAAUGCAUAAAUAUCUGGAAGAAUACCGGUGGCGAAGGCCGCCCCCUGGACAAAGACUGACUCUCAUGUGCGAAAGCGUGGAGAACACACAAGAAUAUAUACCCUGGUACCCCACGCCAUACACUAUCUCCAUUUGGAGGGUGUGCCCUUGACGCUUGUCUUCCGGAUCUCACGCGAUAAAUACACCGCCUGGAGAAUACGGCCGCAACGAUAACUCUCAUAUGAAUUCACGGGGGCCCACACAAGCGGGAGGAACAUGUGGUUAUAAUUCGAUGCCACGCAAAAAAUCUUACCUGGUUUUGACAUCCACAAAACUUUCCAGAGAUGGUUUGGUCCCUUCGGAAAUUGUUAAAAAAGGUGCUGCAUGGUUGUCCCCCACCUCGUGUUGGAAAAUGUUGGGGUUAAAUCCCCCCAAAAAAGGGGAACCUUUUUUUUUUUUUUGCCCGCGGGUAGGUCGGGAAAUUUAAAGGAAAAUUCCCCGGGAAAAAAUUGGAGGGAAGGGGGGGGGGG
rnacentral:rRNA from 1 species